AAAACACCCCUACGGGGGCAACAGUAAGGAAUAUUGGUCAAUGGAGGGAACUCUGAACCAGCCAUGCCGCGUGCAGGAAGACUGCCCUAUGGGUUGUAAACUGCUUUUAUCCGGGAAUAAACCUACUUACGUGUAAGUAGCUGAAUGUACCGGAAGAAUAAGGAUCGGCUAACUCCGUGCCAGCAGCCGCGGUAAUACGGAGGAUCCAAGCGUUAUCCGGAUUUAUUGGGUUUAAAGGGUGCGUAGGCGGCCUGUUAAGUCAGGGGUGAAAGACGGUAGCUCAACUAUCGCAGUGCCCUUGAUACUGAUGGGCUUGAAUGGACUAGAGGUAGGCGGAAUG
rnacentral:rRNA from 1 species